GGGCGGUUAGCUCAGCGGUAGAGCACUCGCUUCACACGCGAGGGGUCACGUGUUCAAAUCACGUACCGCCCACCA
rnacentral:tRNA from 1 species